UCUGAACAAACUUUAUAUUUCCUUUUCAUAUUGUCCCACUUUUUUUUUUUUGGCCUGCAAGGGGGUGACCUUCCCUUGUUGUCACUAAUAGAGGAAAAACAUAAAAUUCUGAAAAUACAAAUGUGUAUAACCAUGUGACGAGCUCCAUAGUUGGAAGGCAUCUUUGACAUCACCCUAAUCUUUAGUUCCCUCCACAGAUCUGUUAUCAGAUUCAAACCGAGACCUCUUGCUGCACCACUCCAAAACUGUAAUAUCAUUUUCAGGCAGAAGAAACAUGUUAAAAUGAAAAGAUUAACUUAAACCUAAAUCGCCCAGGAGCAUGAGCCAGUUUUGGCCUAACUGUAAAACCUUGAAGUCCUCAGAGACCUCUUCAGUCAGUGCUCACAGAAUCAUCUAUCUCCCUCUAAAAGCCAAUCUGUGGAAAAUCUAUUAAAAAGGUUAAAGGACACUAAAACUUGGAUGGAGCCUAACUUCCUAUAUUUGAAUGGAUAUAAAACACAGGUGAUGGUUUUUGGGGAAAGAGACUUGUGAACAGAGAGUGGCAGUGCAAUUGGUCCUUUAAAUUAUUUUAGUUGUACUGCUGUCAGGAAUUAUGGGGUAUUUUUGAUAAUGGUUUUAAAUUUGAUAAACAGGUUUAUGCAGUAGACCAGUCUAGCUUCUACCAUCUGAGGUUGAUUGCUAAAAUUAGAUCAUAUCUACCUCCUAGUGCCCUUGAAAGGGUGAUACACUCUUUUGUUAUGUCUAGACUGGACUACUGCAACUCUCUCUAUACUGGGACAGACAAUUCUCUUCUUCGUCAUCUGCAGCUGGUCCACAACGCUGCCGUCCUUUUGCUGUUCGGUAAAAGAAGACGUAAACAUAUUACUCUAUUGUUCUCUCUGCAAUGGCUGCCUGGAUGUUUUAAGAUUAUAUUUAAGAUUUUACUUUUGGUUUUUAAAUGCUUAAAUAUUCAGGCACAUACGUAUUGGAGCUUUUAAACAAGGAUGAUCCCAGCAGAACUCCGAGGUCAUGUAACCUGCUGCUUUUAGAUGUUUCUAGAUCUUGUCUUGUGAGCCGAGGAGACAGAGCUUGCUCUGAUGCAGCACCCAAACUGUGGAAUGAUCUUCCACUCACUGUGCAAAAUCAAGAAAGUCUAAAGAAGGGAGGCCUAUGGAGGCAAAGAAGGAAGGAUGUGAGGAGACACACAAGAAAGGAAGGAGGGAACAAGAAAGAAAAAAAGGGCACAAGGAAGAAUGCAAGGAAGGACAGAAGAAAGGUAUACAUGGAAGACAGAAAUUAUUUGUUUUCCUUAUUAAAUUUUUGUUCUGGAGUCCCUGAAAUAUAUUUCUAGCAAGAAGAAAUGGUAACUUAGACAUUUCUAAAUUCAGCUUUUACAAGUAAAAUAAGAUUUGGCAUGUGGCUUUAUUAUAAGACGCGUCCUUUUUACUUUUAGCUAAAUUUUAUUUAGUUUGAAUAAUCUUGAAAAACCUGAAAUAAAGAAAAUCAGUCUCAUCUUAAAUGUUUUAAAAACUGUUAAAUUGUAAUUAAAUACACGUGGGUUUCUUUUAAAUACGACUUCCUGAUCUAAAAAUAUUUUAAGCUGCUUUAUAUCAAUAAUCACUUAUUGCAGGACAGAUAAAAUCCCCAAUCAAACAAUUAGGCAACAACCUUUCAUAACUACAGUAGCAGUGCUUGUUUUACACUGUACAAACCUAAUUACAUUCUUUUAGUAGAUAAACAUGAGUGACAGAAUUCAGUUGUAAAGAGAAAAGGUUACGCUGUGUCUUAAAAAAAGUUUUAAUUCUGAAAGGAUGACAGGAUGACUGGAGAAAAGGUUACUAAAUACAAAUCGUACACUAUAGCAGUCCCACAGAAAUUAGCUCAGUUCAGGGGUAUCAACAUAAAUUGCAUAUUAAUCAGCUCAGAAAAAGAAAUAAA